rnacentral:rRNA from 1 species
UACAGAGGUCUCAAGCGUUGUUCGGAUUCACUGGGCGUAAAGGGUGCGUAGGUGGCUUGGUAAGUUCGAUGUGAAAUCUCCGGGCUUAACCCGGAAAUGGCAUUGAAUACUAUUGAGCUGGAGGUUUGGAGGGGGGACUGGAAUUCUCGGUGUAGCAGUGAAAUGCGUAGAUAUCAGGAGGAACACCGAUGGCGAAGGCAGGUCUCUGGGCUGACACUGACGCUCAUGCACGAAAGCGUGGGGAGCAAACAGG